rnacentral:tRNA from 1 species
GUAGAGUUGACUGAAUGGUAAGGUGCUCGAUUGAUACUCGAAGGCUAGGGGCAACCCUAAGCAGGUUCGAAACCUGUACUCUCUGCAA